CCUACGGGAGGCAGCAGUGGGGAAUAUUGCACAAUGGGGGAAACCCUGAUGCAGCGACGCCGCGUGAGUGAAGAAGUAUUUCGGUAUGUAAAGCUCUAUCAGCAGGGAAGAAAAUGACGGUACCUGACUAAGAAGCCCCGGCUAACUACGUGCCAGCAGCCGCGGUAAUACGUAGGGGGCAAGCGUUAUCCGGAUUUACUGGGUGUAAAGGGAGCGUAGGUGGCAUGGUAAGCCAGAAGUGAAAACCCAGGGCUCAACUCUGUGGAUUGCUUUUGGAACUAUCAAGCUUGAGUGCUGGAGGGGUAAGCGGAAUUCCUAGUGUAGCGGUGAAAUGCGUAGAUAUUAGGAGGAACACCGGUGGCGAAGGCGGCUUACUGGACAGAAACUGUCACUGAGGCUCGAAAGCGUGGGGAGCAAACAGGAUUAGAUACCCUGGUAGUC
rnacentral:rRNA from 1 species